rnacentral:tRNA from 1 species
CGGGGAUUGGCGCAGUGGUAGCGCGCACGGCUGGGGGCCGUGAGGUCGCAGGUUCGAACCCUGUAUCCCCGA